UGGGGAAUAUUGGACAAUGGGGGGAACCCUGAUCCAGCCAUGCCGCGUGUGUGAAGAAGGCCUUAUGGUUGUAAAGCACUUUAAGCGAGGAGGAGGGUACUGGUAUUAAUACUACCAGGUACUGGACGUUACUCGCAGAAUAAGCACCGGCUAACUCUGUGCCAGCAGCCGCGGUAAUACAGAGGGUGCGAGCGUUAAUCGGAUUUACUGGGCGUAAAGCGCGCGUAGGUGGUUCGUUAAGUUGAAUGUGAAAGCCCCGGGCUCAACCUGGGAACGGCAUCCAAAACUGGCGAGCUAGAGUAGGGCAGAGGGUGGUGGAAUUUCCUGUGUAGCGGUGAAAUGCGUAGAUAUAGGAAGGAACACCAGUGGCGAAGGCGACCACCUGGGCUCAUACUGACACUGAGGUGCGAAAGCGUGGGGAGCAAACAGG
rnacentral:rRNA from 1 species